GGGGAUAUAGUUCAGUGGUAGAGCAUUCGACUGCAGAUCGAGAGGUCCCUGGUUCAAAUCCACGUGUUCCCU
rnacentral:tRNA from 1 species